CUGGGUUGAAGGUAGGGUGAGACUGUCAUUACUGUACUCUGGGUUGAAGGUAGGGUGAGACUGUCAUUACUGUACUCUGGGUUGAAGGUAGGGCGAGACUGUCAUUACUGUACUCUGGGUUGAAGGUAGGGCGAGACUGUCAUUACUGUACUCUGGGUUGAAGGUAGGGCGAGACUGUCAUUACUGUACUCUGGGUUGAAGGUAGGGCGAGACUGUCAUUACUGUACUCUGGGUUGAAGGUAGGGCGAGACUGUCAUUACUGUACUCUGGGUUGAAGGUAGGGCGAGACUGUCAUUACUGUACUCUGGGUUGAAGGUAGGGCGAGACUGUCAUUACUGUACUCUGGGUUGAAGGUAGGGCGAGACUGUCAUUACUGUACUCUGGGUUGAAGGUAGGGCGAGACUGUCAUUACUGUACUCUGGGUUGAAGGUAGGGCGAGACUGUCAUUACUGUACUCUGGGUUGAAGGUAGGGCGAGACUGUCAUUACUGUACUCUGGGUUGAAGGUAGGGCGAGACUGUCAUUACUGUACUCUGGGUUGAAGGUAGGGCGAGACUGUCAUUACUGUACUCUGGGUUGAAGGUAGGGCGAGACUGUCAUUACUGUACUCUGGGUUGAAGGUAGGGCGAGACUGUCAUUACUGUACUCUGGGUUGAAGGUAGGGCGAGACUGUCAUUACUGUACUCUGGGUUGAAGGUAGGGCGAGACUGUCAUUACUGUACUCUGGGUUGAAGGUAGGGCGAGACUGUCAUUACUGUACUCUGGGUUGAAGGUAGGGCGAGACUGUCAUUACUGUACUCUGGGUUGAAGGUAGGGCGAGACUGUCAUUACUGUACUCUGGGUUGAAGGUGGGGCGAGACUGUCAUUACUGUACUCUGGGUUGAAGGUGGGGCGAGACUGUCAUUACUGUACUCUGGGUUGAAGGUGGGGCGAGACUGUCAUUACUCCACUCUGGGUUGAAGGUGGGGCGAGACUGUCAUUACUCCACUCUGGGUUGAAGGUGGGGCGAGACUGUCAUUACUCCACUCUGGGUUGAAGGUGGGGCGAGACUGUCAUUACUCCACUCUGGGUUGAAGGUGGGGCGAGACUGUCAUUACUCCACUCUGGGUUGAAGGUGGGGCGAGACUGUCAUUACUCCACUCUGGGUUGAAGGUGGGGCGAGACUGUCAUUACUCCUCUCUGGGUUGAAGGUGGGGCGAGACUGUCAUUACUCCUCUCUGGGUUGAAGGUGGGGCGAGACUGUCAUUACUCCUCUCUGGGUUGAAGGUGGGGCGAGACUGUCAUUACUCCUCUCUGGGUUGAAGGUGGGGCGAGACUGUCAUUACUCCUCUCUGGGUUGAAGGUGGGGCGAGACUGUCAUUACUCCUCUCUGGGUUGAAGGUGGGGCGAGACUGUCAUUACUCCUCUCUGGGUUGAAGGUGGGGCGAGACUGUCAUUACUCCUCUCUGGGUUGAAGGUGGGGCGAGACUGUCAUUACUCCUCUCUGGGUUGAAGGUGGGGCGAGACUGUCAUUACUCCUCUCUGGGUUGAAGGUGGGGCGAGACUGUCAUUACUCCUCUCUGGGUUGAAGGUGGGGCGAGACUGUCAUUACUCCUCUCUGGGUUGAAGGUGGGGCGAGACUGUCAUUACUCCUCUCUGGGUUGAAGGUGGGGCGAGACUGUCAUUACUCCUCUCUGGGUUGAAGGUGGGGCGAGACUGUCAUUACUCCUCUCUGGGUUGAAGGUGGGGCGAGACUGUCAUUACUCCUCUCUGGGUUGAAGGUGGGGCGAGACUGUCAUUACUCCUCUCUGGGUUGAAGGUGGGGCGAGACUGUCAUUACUCCUCUCUGGGUUGAAGGUGGGGCGAGACUGUCAUUACUCCUCUCUGGGUUGAAGGUGGGGCGAGACUGUCAUUACUCCUCUCUGGGUUGAAGGUGGGGCGAGACUGUCAUUACUCCUCUCUGGGUUGAAGGUGGGGCGAGACUGUCAUUACUCCUCUCUGGGUUGAAGGUGGGGCGAGACUGUCAUUACUCCUCUCUGGGUUGAAGGUGGGGCGAGACUGUCAUUACUCCUCUCUGGGUUGAAGGUGGGGCGAGACUGUCAUUACUCCUCUCUGGGUUGAAGGUGGGGCGAGACUGUCAUUACUCCUCUCUGGGUUGAAGGUGGGGCGAGACUGUCAUUACUCCUCUCUGGGUUGAAGGUGGGGCGAGACUGUCAUUACUCCUCUCUGGGUUGAAGGUGGGGCGAGACUGUCAUUACUCCUCUCUGGGUUGAAGGUGGGGCGAGACUGUCAUUACUCCUCUCUGGGUUGAAGGUGGGGCGAGACUGUCAUUACUCCUCUCUGGGUUGAAGGUGGGGCGAGACUGUCAUUACUCCUCUCUGGGUUGAAGGUGGGGCGAGACUGUCAUUACUCCUCUCUGGGUUGAAGGUGGGGCGAGACUGUCAUUACUCCUCUCUGGGUUGAAGGUGGGGCGAGACUGUCAUUACUCCUCUCUGGGUUGAAGGUGGGGCGAGACUGUCAUUACUCCUCUCUGGGUUGAAGGUGGGGCGAGACUGUCAUUUCUGUACUCUGGGUUGAAGGUGGGGCGAGACUGUCAUUACUCCUCUCUGGGUUGAAGGUGGGGUGAGACUGUCAUUACUCCUCUCUGGGUUGAAGGUGGGGCGAGACUGUCAUUGCUGUACUCCUCUCUGGGUUGAAGGUGGGGCGAGACUGUCAUUACUCCUCUCUGGGUUGAAGGUGGGGCGAGACUGUCAUUACUGUACUCCUCUCUGGGUUGAAGGUGGGGCGAGACUGUCAUUGCUGUACUCCUCUCUGGGUUGAAGGUGGGGCGAGACUGUCAUUACUGUACUCUGGGUUGAAGGUGGGGCGAGACUGUCAUUACUGUACUCCUCUCUGGGUUGAAGGUGGGGUGAGACUGUCAUUACUGUACUCUGGGUUGAAGGUAGGGUGAGACUGUCAUUACUGUACUCCUCUCUGGGUUGAAGGUAGGGUGAGACUGUCAUUACUGUACUCUGGGUUGAAGGUGGGGUGAGACUGUCAUUACUGUACUCCUCUCUGGGUUGAAGGUGGGGUGAGACUGUCAUUACUGUACUCUGGGUUGAAGGUAGGGUGAGACUGUCAUUACUGUACUCUGGGUUGAAGGUAGGGUGAGACUGUCAUUACUGUACUCUGGGUUGAAGGUAGGGCGAGACUGUCAUUACUGUACUCUGGGUUGAAGGUAGGGUGAGACUGUCAUUACUGUACUCUGGGUUGAAGGUAGGGUGAGACUGUCAUUACUGUACUCUGGGUUGAAGGUAGGGCGAGACUGUCAUUACUGUACUCUGGGUUGAAGGUAGGGCGAGACUGUCAUUACUGUACUCUGGGUUGAAGGUAGGGCGAGACUGUCAUUACUGUACUCUGGGUUGAAGGUAGGGCGAGACUGUCAUUACUGUACUCUGGGUUGAAGGUAGGGCGAGACUGUCAUUACUGUACUCUGGGUUGAAGGUAGGGCGAGACUGUCAUUACUGUACUCUGGGUUGAAGGUAGGGCGAGACUGUCAUUACUGUACUCUGGGUUGAAGGUAGGGCGAGACUGUCAUUACUCCACUCUGGGUUGAAGGUGGGGCGAGACUGUCAUUACUCCACUCUGGGUUGAAGGUGGGGCGAGACUGUCAUUACUCCACUCUGGGUUGAAGGUGGGGCGAGACUGUCAUUACUCCACUCUGGGUUGAAGGUGGGGCGAGACUGUCAUUACUCCACUCUGGGUUGAAGGUGGGGCGAGACUGUCAUUACUCCACUCUGGGUUGAAGGUGGGGCGAGACUGUCAUUACUCCACUCUGGGUUGAAGGUGGGGCGAGACUGUCAUUACUCCACUCUGGGUUGAAGGUGGGGCGAGACUGUCAUUACUCCACUCUGGGUUGAAGGUGGGGCGAGACUGUCAUUACUCCACUCUGGGUUGAAGGUGGGGCGAGACUGUCAUUACUCCACUCUGGGUUGAAGGUGGGGCGAGACUGUCAUUACUCCACUCUGGGUUGAAGGUGGGGCGAGACUGUCAUUACUCCUCUCUGGGUUGAAGGUGGGGCGAGACUGUCAUUACUCCUCUCUGGGUUGAAGGUGGGGCGAGACUGUCAUUACUCCUCUCUGGGUUGAAGGUGGGGCGAGACUGUCAUUACUCCUCUCUGGGUUGAAGGUGGGGCGAGACUGUCAUUACUCCUCUCUGGGUUGAAGGUGGGGCGAGACUGUCAUUACUCCUCUCUGGGUUGAAGGUGGGGCGAGACUGUCAUUACUCCUCUCUGGGUUGAAGGUGGGGCGAGACUGUCAUUACUCCUCUCUGGGUUGAAGGUGGGGCGAGACUGUCAUUACUCCUCUCUGGGUUGAAGGUGGGGCGAGACUGUCAUUACUCCUCUCUGGGUUGAAGGUGGGGCGAGACUGUCAUUACUCCUCUCUGGGUUGAAGGUGGGGCGAGACUGUCAUUACUCCUCUCUGGGUUGAAGGUGGGGCGAGACUGUCAUUACUCCUCUCUGGGUUGAAGGUGGGGCGAGACUGUCAUUACUCCUCUCUGGGUUGAAGGUGGGGCGAGACUGUCAUUACUCCUCUCUGGGUUGAAGGUGGGGCGAGACUGUCAUUACUGUACUCUGGGUUGAAGGUGGGGCGAGACUGUCAUUACUGUACUCUGGGUUGAAGGUGGGGCGAGACUGUCAUUACUGUACUCUGGGUUGAAGGUGGGGCGAGACUGUCAUUACUGUACUCUGGGUUGAAGGUGGGGCGAGACUGUCAUUACUGUACUCUGGGUUGAAGGUGGGGUGAGACUGUCAUUACUGUACUCUGGGUUGAAGGUAGGGUGAGACUGUCAUUACUGUACUCUGGGUUGAAGGUGGGGUGAGACUGUCAUUACUGUACUCUGGGUUGAAGGUGGGGUGAGACUGUCAUUGCUGUACUCCUCUCUGGGUUGAAGGUGGGGUGAGACUGUCAUUGCUGUACUCCUCUCUGGGUUGAAGGUAGGGUGAGACUGUCAUUACUGUACUCUGGGUUGAAGGUGGGGUGAGACUGUCAUUACUGUACUCCUCUCUGGGUUGAAGGUGGGGUGAGACUGUCAUUACUGUACUCUGGGUUGAAGGUGGGGUGACACUGUCAUUACUGUACUCCUCUCUGGGUUGAAGGUAGGGUGAGACUGUCAUUACUGUACUCCUCUCUGGGUUGAAGGUAGGGUGAGACUGUCAUUACUGUACUCCUCUCUGGGUUGAAGGUAGGGUGAGACUGUCAUUACUGUACUCUGGGUUGAAGAUGGGGUGAGACUGUCAUUGCUGUACUCCUCUCUGGGUUGAAGGUAGGGUGAGACUGUCAUUGCUGUACUCCUCUCUGGGUUGAAGGUAGGGUGAGACUGUCAUUGCUGUACUCCUCUCUGGGUUGAAGGUAGGGUGAGACUGUCAUUACUGUACUCUGGGUUGAAGAUGGGGUGAGACUGUCAUUGCUGUACUCCUCUCUGGGUUGAAGGUAGGGUGAGACUGUCAUUACUGUACUCUGGGUUGAAGGUGGGGUGAGACUGUCAUUACUGUACUCCUCUCUGGGUUGAAGGUAGGGUGAGACUGUCAUUACUGUACUCUGGGUUGAAGGUGGGGUGAGACUGUCAUUACUGUACUCUGGGUUGAAGGUGGGGUGAGACUGUCAUUACUGUACUCUGGGUUGAAGGUGGGGUGAGACUGUCAUUACUGUACUCCUCUCUGGGUUGAAGGUGGGGUGAGACUGUCAUUACUGUACUCCUCUCUGGGUUGAAGGUGGGGUGAGACUGUCAUUACUGUACUCUGGGUUGAAGGUAGGGUGAGACUGUCAUUACUGUACUCUGGGUUGAAGGUAGGGUGAGACUGUCAUUACUGUACUCCUCUCUGGGUUGAAGGUAGGGUGACACUGUCAUUACUGUACUCCUCUCUGGGUUGAAGGUAGGGUGAGACUGUCAUUACUGUACUCCUCUCUGGGUUGAAGGUAGGGUGAGACUGUCA